rnacentral:rRNA from 1 species
UGGAUCCAGACUUUGAUUAUGGCUCAGGAUGAACGCUAGCUACAGGCUUAACACAUGCAAGUCGAGGGGAAACGAUAUUGGAAGCUUGCUUCCGAUAGGCGUCGACCGGCGCACGGGUGAGUAACGCGUAUCCAACCUGCCCACCACUUGGGGAUAACCUUGCGAAAGUAAGACUAAUACCCAAUGAUAUCUCUAGAAGACAUCUGAAAGAGAUUAAAGAUUUAUCGGUGAUGGAUGGGGAUGCGUCUGAUUAGCUUGUUGGCGGGGUAACGGCCCACCAAGGCGACGAUCAGUAGGGGUUCUGAGAGGAAGGUCCCCCACAUUGGAACUGAGACACGGUCCAAACUCCUACGGGAGGCAGCAGUGAGGAAUAUUGGUCAAUGGGCGAGAGCCUGAACCAGCCAAGUAGCGUGCAGGAUGACGGCCCUAUGGGUUGUAAACUGCUUUUAUAAGGGAAUAAAGUGAGCCUCGUGAGGCUUUUUGCAUGUACCUUAUGAAUAAGGACCGGCUAAUUCCGUGCCAGCAGCCGCGGUAAUACGGAAGGUCCGGGCGUUAUCCGGAUUUAUUGGGUUUAAAGGGAGCGUAGGCCGGAGAUUAAGCGUGUUGUGAAAUGUAGACGCUCAACGUCUGCACUGCAGCGCGAACUGGUUUCCUUGAGUACGCACAAAGUGGGCGGAAUUCGUGGUGUAGCGGUGAAAUGCUUAGAUAUCACGAAGAACUCCGAUUGCGAAGGCAGCUCACUGGAGCGCAACUGACGCUGAAGCUCGAAAGUGCGGGUAUCGAACAGGAUUAGAUACCCUGGUAGUCCGCACGGUAAACGAUGGAUGCCCGCUGUUGGUCUGAAUAGGUCAGCGGCCAAGCGAAAGCAUUAAGCAUCCCACCUGGGGAGUAGCGCCGGCAACGGUGCAACUCAAAUGAAUUGACGGA